AUGAAUCUCCCUCCGGGGCGCUUCGCUCUGGGCUCUUCCAUAUUGCAGGAGCUUCCAUAUUGCAGGGUGCUACUAGUGCUGGGAGAACCAUUUAGAUAUAUCUAUCUGAAAGUAUAGUGUUUGCUAAAUCGAUGUACUACCUGCAUUCAAACUACUGCAAACACUUUGAAAUUGAUAUCUCUUUGAAAUUUGUUAGAUGACUAUGCUUAUCCACUCCUGUUGCCUUGGUAUUAUACUGUUGUUGGUUAAUCCUGCUACCAACUUGCAUUUGCUUAUUUGUGCGCCUUGCAGAUUACUCCGUGUUUGUAAUUAUUCUGCAUUAGCAUUGAGUGCUCUCUCUGCUUGCAUGAUGACUAGUAACUUUCUUGCUAGCUAAUUUAGUUUGUGCUGCUAGACUAAGUAGUUAUUUUCAGUACUAUUUUUAUUGUCUGGUGGUUGUUUGCAUGUCGCCUUGAAUUUUUUUUUGUAGGUCUGUAAUGAUGCUUGCUUGGUAGUUAAGCUCGGCCUAGAUGCUGAAUGUGAUUGUGUGUUGUUUUCUCAUGCUCCUGCUGCUGUUUGACUUCAGUCGGCUUAUCUACACAGGAGUAGACCACGAACAAUGGUGGCUGCAUGUGCUCCUUUGAAUCACAUGGGCUACGAAGGCAGGCCGAUCUUUGAUUUCUGACUGCUCUCGAAUGUUCCGAUCUGGCCUGUUGGGUUCACUCUUUAUGGGUCACUUUCUCAUUACUAUUACCAUAUCUGUGUGGUAACCAUUGUUAGACUGAUAGGUGGAUCUAAUGUGUAGUCAAUUAUUUAUGUUUGAAUUCCAUUGGUAACUUAAAGCUAUUACUUGCUGAAAACAGUAGUUAGACUGAUAGGUGGAUCUAAUGUGUAGUCAAUUAUUUAUGUUUGAAUUUCAUUAGUAACUUAGAGCUAUUACUUGCUGUUAUAAAUUUAUAGUAGUCCAUUGAUCACAAUUCCUUUUAUUGCAAUAUUGCCGACUGUAAGAAUUUGACAUUUUGACAAUGUGCUCUUUUCAUUUUCAGGCUGAGGAUGAUUAUAUGCAAGGAACAGAGAUGAUCUUUUAUCUCCAUACUUUCUAUGCUUCUAAGUUUAAGCUUAAGAUGUAAUGCUAGCUGUGUCGCUGGAUAAGACACGCAUGAUUAAGCAACUGAGAGGGAGACAGUGGACAAGGUGAGAGGGAGGACGACAACACACCCCAUUGCAAGAGAUUGAAAAUUUGAAGAUGGCAACUAAGGCGUUGAUCCAUUACUUUUUUAUUACUUUCUAAUUUAUGAUGAAAUGUCACUGCAUAUUGUCUUAUAUCUUGUGAAAAUUGGUAUUGUAAUUCUGAAAAUGGGUUGUAAUAGCUUAUUGUGACUUCUGGGAUGGAACUUUUGUUUUAAUAAGUGGACUGGAAAAAUUGGUGGGCUGUUUUUUAUA